rfam:Ovis aries breed Texel chromosome 1, whole genome shotgun sequence.
UCCCUAAUGGUGCAGUAGUUAAGACUCUGCACUUCCAAUGCAGAGGGCACAAGUUCAAUCCCUGGUGGGGGAA